rnacentral:lncRNA from 1 species
UGCCAUUCUCUGGUUAAACAUCUCAUGAUCUUUCCAAUCUGCUGUUCAUUAUCCACAUCUUUUCCUAGUGCAUGCAGGUUGUUGACUAUGUGUGUGAAUCUGGUUUGCAAAUCGCUGAUUGACUCUUCUUUCUUCAUGCUAAAUAAUUCAUAUUCGUGCAUGAGCGUAUUCACACGAGCUCUCUUAACAUCAGUAGUACCUUCGUGAGUUUCUUGGAGGAUGUCCCACAUCUCUUUUGCUGACUUGCAAUUGGACACUCUAAAGAACUCUUCUGCACAUAGGGCGGACGUGAUGAUGUUCUUAGCCUUCGCAUUGAAACCAACCUUCUUCUUGUCAUCAUCUGACCAGUCGGCUCUAGGCUUGAUAAUCAUUGAGUUGUUAGUUCCUGCAAUCUUGGGAAUGUAUGGACCGUUUUCAACAGCGUCAAGGAUGUCUAUGCCACUUGCUUCCAGGAAUAUGAGCAUUCUUUGCUUCCAGUACAUGUAGGCUGUACCGUUGAAAGCUGGUGGUCGAGCUAACGAAGCGCCUUCUCCCAGAACGUCAGUUGAGGCCAUCUUCUUAUAAGUUUUACCUCUCAAGAAGUUAGCUCUGAUACCAAUUGUUGGUAUCUUGACCUCGAAAUAACAGAAAAUAUAUCAGUUUUCUUUACCAAAUUAAUCAGUAUCAAGUGCACAGCGGAAUUUAAAUUUUGAGGCAUGCAAAGUUAGCAAUAUAGAAAAUUAAAGAGAGAGAGUUAGAGAAGAAAACACAGAGAUUUAUCCUGGUUCGGUUGUCAACAACAACCUACGUCCAGUCCUGAAAAUCCAAUCGGAUUUCAGAUUUUCUUCUCCUUCAAUAGAAAGAAUCAAUUACAGAUUGUCCAGUUUCCUCCCUGAAACCUAUCUAUCUUAAUGAUCUCUUUCCUAUUGAAUACCCUCUGAUCCUUGUAGACACUCAGCAGCCUAUCACAGAAUCACAGUGCGACUCUUCCUUGUUGAACACUUUUCACCCAAGAAAGUAGCCACCAGUUUCUAGCUGGCUUUCUAUCAACCCUUUGAUCCUUGUAGACAAUCGGCAGCCUAACACAAAAUCAAAGUACGACUCUUUCUUGUUGAGACCUCUCACCCAAGAAAGUAGCCACCAGUUUCUAGCUGGCUUUCUAUCAACCCUUUGAUCCUUGUAGACAAUCGGCAGCCUAACACAAAAUCAAAGUACGACUCUUUCUUGUUGAGACCUCUCACCCAAGAAAGUAGCCACCAGUUUCUAGCUGGCUUUCUAUCAACCCUUUGAUCCUUGUAGACAAUCGGCAGCCUAACACAAAAUCAAAGUACGACUCUUUCUUGUUGAGACCUCUCACCCAAGAAAGUAGCCACCAGUUUCUAGCUGGAUUUUCAACGUUCGUUUUGGUUCAAAGAUUUAUUACAGAAAGAAUAAAAGAUUGUAAAACAAAAGGGUCUUCAAUCUUUAUGAAUGUUGCUCUUCACAAAUCUGGAUAUUCAUGGAUUGUUCUUGAGCACAUUAUCAUUUCUCUUAGAUUGUCAACAAACUGUAUUGAGAUCUGUAAUCACAAUUAUGAAGUUGUUAGUUUGUUGCCAUGAACCGUUUUUGAGAGCAUAAGAGAAAUUAUGAAAGUUAGGAAAAAGUUAUGUAAAAGUUAUGUAAAAGUUUUUAGAAGUUAUGAGAAUAAAGAUUGAAAGACAUCUUAUAUAGUUUCUGAAAAACCAACUACGAAAUCGAUUUCCCAAUCGAUUUUGUAAAGUUAUAAAAUGAGCUAAAUCGAUUUGCCAAUCGAUUAUCGCGAUCUUGGUUUUCUUUAAUCUUGAAACUAUACAAGCUAAUCGAUUUACCAAUCGAUUCUUUAAAACAACACUUUUCAGCAGAACAUGUCCAGACCUGUAUAAAUCGAUUGCCUAAUCGAUUUCUGGGAAACUGUUUUAAUAAAACUAUUUUCAAUCGAUUACUCAAUCGAUUUGCCAAACUUCAGAGUUCACUGUGUUUUCAACAAGUUUAUUUCAAUCGAUUUGCCAAUCGAUUGUUUUCAAAACAGUGGCUCAGGUUUUUGAUGUCAAUCGAUUUGUCAAUCGAUGUGAUUCAAAAUAGUGAUUCAGUUUUAAUAUCAAUCGAUUUGCCAAUCGAUUGUUUUCAAAACAGUGGCUCAGCUAUUUGAUAUCAAUCGACUUGUCAAUCGCUUUGGUGUCAUGUUCCUGAAAAGUUUUUACCUGGUGUUUAGUUCAAUCGAUUUGCCAAUCGAUUGCAACCAAACUUUAUCAAAAUUAAAGUGUUAACAAUAGAUUGUCCAAUCGAUUGUAUUUGUCACAGGUGAGGUUAUUUUUCAAAUGAUACUUUGUCAAUCGAUUUGCCAAUCGAUUCCCUCAGCACUGGAGUGCCACUGUGACUCAUUCAAUCGAUUUACCAAUCGAUGUGUUACCAUCAGGUUUGAUUUGUGAAAUGUUCAAUCGAUUUACCAAUCGAUUUUCUCCAAAUCAGAGGCUACUGACUUGUGCAUUUUUCAUUUUUAAUUGAUCUAAUCGAUUGCCUAAUCGAUUGCACAUUCACAAACACUUAAGAUUUCCUUACACCCUUGUUAUGAAAUCGAUUUCCCAAUCGAUUUACAUAUUCAGAAUUCAACUUUUGUUGAUUUCUUGUGUUCCAAGCUAUUUGAUCCAAGUGUGUAGGAUUGAAUUGGUGUUCCUGAAAUUUUGCUCAAUUGAAAUAUUAGAUUUAUCAUAUUAAGUAUGAAUAUUGUUGAAUUGUGAAUUAUGUCAAAAUUAGGAAUCAAAGGAUCAAAAUCCAACAAUCUCCCCCUUUUUGGCAUAAUUGACAAUUCAUACAAUUGUAACUUGAGCAUAUCAAACCAUUUCAAAAUCAUACCAAAGAAACCAAUUCAUAGCAUUAAAUAUGUACCAAUACAGAUCAUCAGAGCAUGUGUCAAAAUGUAUCAAAUCAGCAUUACAUUAUUAAGUAUCAGAGCAAAAACAAACAACAUCAGAUGCUCCCCCUUAAUAAUGCAACAACAAGCAUAUUAUCAAGUUAUCAAGUUAUAAUUUUUCUCCCCCUUUGUCAAUUAAGGCAAAAAGGCAGAAAACAAUUCCUCCCCCUAUGUUAAAGAACAUAAGCAUAGGAAAUGAAAUCAUAUAACUUGUAUAUCAGAUCAGAACAAAACAAAUAUGCAACAGAUGUAGUAUGGCAGUAUUUAUAUGAUAACAAUUAAUACAUUUGCUCAUACAUAUAUAUUAAUAAAACAUAAAACAGCAAAAACAGCAAGACAACCAAAAAUAAGACAACACAAAUAAGAAACUUGACCAUCUAAUCUCCUAAAGUGGGCUGGUUCUCACUAUCAUCUAGGGGAGAGGUAGAGACCGCUGUAUUAUCCUCAGCUGGUGUCUCCUCACCGUGAGUCGCAGACCGAUCUAGAGGAUCUGGCUGUGGUUCCUCAGUUGCUUGUCGACCAAUAUGCGCUAUGUCUUCAAAAGAUAGCUUGAGGCCUAGAUGCGCUUGAAUUGCAGCAACAUCCUGAACAACUGAUUUCAGGGAUGUUUGGAUAGAUGUCAAGGUAGCUUCCAUCCUUGCAUUUGACUCUAAUAUUUUGGCGUUGUGUUCCAUUUGAGCUGCCAUAAAUUCCAUCAGCUUUGAAACAAAUGCAGGAGCCUCAGCUGCUGAUUCAGAUGCUUGUGGAGGAGUUGGUUCAACAUUUGGCAUUGGUCUAAUCCAAACAUUAUCUACUUUCUUCAGUUUCAUCUGAUUCACAAUCGCUUCGCCGAAGAUAAGUGUAGUCUUUGCAGAUUCUUCAUUCAACAACGAUACCUUGAAGUGCUUGAGAACCUUUGUAACCAACUGCGGAUAAGGCAACAUGAUCUUACUGUGUGAAGCUUCUAACAUGUGCCUUAGCACAAUCCAUGUCCAACUCAUCUUAAGUUCCUUGGACAAUCCCCAUAAUAAUAUAAUAUCAAGCUUCUGAACAACAGCAUGAUUUCCUGAUCGAGGUACAAGCAUUCUUGUUAAUGUAUACAUGAGCAUGCGUUGCUGUACCUUCAUCUGACCAAUUGGCAAAGAGAUGGUUUCCACAAAACCAUCAACCAUGAUGUCUUUCACUGCAGUGUGCCUGUCCAGCGAUGCUUCCCAACCUUCGUCGGCUGCAUCCGCAUCAGAACUGCCGUCUAUUGAUUGUCCAUGAAAUGGCAAUCCUGUCAACUCAGCAAAGUCUUCAAAAGACAUUGAUAACUUUUUACCUUUAACCUGAGUUUUGAACCCGUCAUUAGUGAGCUAAAAUUUUGCAUAAAAUUCCCGUAUCAAUUUCGGAUAGCUGUCCAAAGUAGAUGAAAGAAAACCUUCAAGACCAUGAAAUCUCAGAUGAUUCUGGAAUGUGAAGCCUUCUGUAUCAAAGAAACCAAAGUCUAGGGUUCUGCCUUCAUGAAUUUUCCGUUUAAGAAACUCUGCUGGAAUGAUAACUUCCACAUCCUUCUCUUUAGGUGCUGGAGUUUUCUUAACUAGAGGUGAAGUAACCGGUUUCUUUUUCUUCUGAGCAAUUUCUUUCAUAGCAUCAGCCAACAACUUCUCACUUGGUGGUUCCUUCCUUUUCUUGAUCUUUUCUGGAAUAGGAGCAGGAGCCUUGCCCUUGUCUUUGGCAAGAAUCUUGUGCAUAGGAAUCGGAACCCUUUUUGUUAGAGUUGGUGGGGGUGAGGGAGUUUCACUGGUUGAAGAUGAUGAAGGUGAAGGAGUAUGGGCUUGUGUUUGUUUCACGCGGGCCAUGGUUGCAAAUAGAGGAGAUGAGUGAAGAUAGAGUUCAGAUAUAGUUGCAGAUAUCAGUUGCAGAGACAGAGGAAGAAGAUGAAGCAGAGAAAGAAAAUAUAAAUCUGGGUUGAAACAGUGAAGAAAUCGAUUUAGACCUGUUCGUUUUUAUACUUUUACCCUUAUCAAUCGAUUGCCCAAUCGAUUGGUUUACCGUUACACCGAAUCCUUAAUCGAUUGUGUAAUUAUGAUGUCCAACGGCUAGUAAAAAAGUACGCAACGGUCAUUUUCCUAAUCGAUUCCCAAAUCGAUUUGCCGUGUUACUUAAUCGAUGUCCAAAUCGAUUGUCCCAAAAGUCAAAUACUGAACACUUAAUCAAUCGAUUUCCAAAUCGAUGCUCGGGAUUGUUACAAAAUAUUUUCCACAAAAUCUGAAGUCUGGGCUAACCAAAUCGAUUCCCAAAUCGAUUCUUUAAACAAACAAAGAGCAAACUCGAAAUCGAUUACUCAAUCGAUUUAAUCCCAAACAAAACUUCUGAUUAACUGCCAUUGACUCUUUUUCUCUGUCAUCAACACAACUAUGUUGACCAAUCUUUCUUCAUUUAAUCUUCAUUUAAUGUUAAAGACAAGAUUCUCAUACUUGUCUCAUUUCACGUGUCUUGAGCAUCCACUUUCAAAUAUCAAUCUUGCUUGGUGGAUGUCAAGUACACCUGCAAAAAUAUAAUUAAUUUUUGGAUCUAGGUACCCAAUUCAGAUUGGGUCCUGGGGGGUCAGUCUUAAACACAGAUUCUUUUGCUAUCCAAACUUGCUUCCAUCCUCUAUUGGCUAAUUUUUUAAAUUUGCAAUUUGACACAAAAUGUCCCUUUCUACAACAGAAAUGACAUUUGCCAUCAAAGGAUGAAUAUUUGUUUGGUUUAGUAAAGGUGUCAUACAUACUCUUAGCAAUAGAAGAUUUUUGACCAUGUUUGACAUUUCUGGUUUGCAUAUAACCAAUACCAGAUCUGUUUUUAUUUUUUCUUUUGACAUGCAUAUUUGGUGUAUAUCCUAAACCAGAUUUUUCAUAAACAUGUCUUUGAUUGCUAAGUAUGACAUUUAGCUUAUCUUUACUAUUUGCAAAAUUUAAUAAAUCAGAUUUUAAUGAUGCAAUAGUAUUUUCAAGUUCAAUGCACUUUGCAGAUUUUUCCUGUGAAUCCUUUUUCAGUUGUUCACAUAAAUUCUCAAAUUCUUUAUGUUCAACACUCAUUUGUUCAAGCAUUUUCUUUGUGCUUAACAACUGUUUUAUGGAUUUCACAUAGUCAUCAUGCAGUUCAUUGAAAGCUUCUUGUAAUUCAUCAUAUGUUGGAUUAAAUUGCGAACUAACCUCACUGUCAGAUUCUGAAUUAGUGUGAGCCAUGAGACAUAAAUUCACUUUUUCUUCAUCCGAAGAAGCAGAGGACUCAUCGUUAUCGUUGUCACUCCAUGCAAUAUAUGCUCUUUUGGCUUUGUGAGCUCUAUUCUUGUUCUUCAGUUUGUAGCAUUCCGACUUUGUGUGACCAAUCUUACCACAUUCGUAGCAUGUAAUUGUCUUGAUGUCACUAGUCUUAGAGCUGGAUGGUUUUCUGAAUUUGUUAUCUUUCUUCUUCAGAAAUUUCUUAAAUUUCUUGACAAGUGAUUCGAUUUCAGUCUCUUCUUUUUCACUGCUGAAUUCAUCUGAGUAGCUAUCGGAUUCAGGUUUAGAUUGCUUUGCUUGAACCUUCAGAGAUAAAUCUGUCUUUUUCCUACUUUCAAUUUCUGAUUCAUCCAGUCGUUGUAAUUCCAUUUCAUGUUCCCUUAAUUUUCCAAAUAAUGUUGCUGUCGUCAUCUUUGCUAGAUCUUUAGAUUCAGCUAUAGCGGUAAUUUUGGGCUGCCAUUCUCUGGUUAAACAUCUCAUAAUCUUUCCAAUCUGCUGUUCAUUAUCCACAUCUUUUCCUAGUGCAUGCAGGUUGUUGACUAUGUGUGUGAAUCUGGUUUGCAAAUCGCUGAUUGACUCUUCUUUCUUCAUGCUAAAUAAUUCAUAUUCGUGCAUGAGCGUAUUCACACGAGCUCUCUUAACAUCAGUAGUUCCUUCGUGCGUUUCUUGAAGGAUGUCCCACAUCUCUUUUGCUGACUUGCAAUUGGACACUCUAAAGAACUCUUCUGCACAUAGGGCGGACGUGAUGAUGUUCUUCGCCUUCGCAUUGAAACCAACCUUCUUCUUGUCUUCAUCGGACCAGUCGGCUCUAGGCUUGAUAAUCAUUGAGUCGUCAGUUCCUGCAAUCUUGGGAAUGUACGGACCGUUUUCAACAGCAUCAAGGAUAUCUAUGCCACUUGCUUCCAGGAAUAUUAGCAUUCUUUGCUUCCAGUACAUGUAGGCUGUACCGUUGAAAGCUGGUGGUCGUGCUAACGAAGCGCCUUCUCCCAGAACGUCAGUUGAGGCCAUCUUCUUAUAAGUGUUACCUCUCAAGAAGUUGGCUCUGAUACCAAUUGUUGGUAUCAGUGACCUCGCAAUAAAGAAAAUAUAUCAGUUUUCGUUACCAAAUUAAUCAGUAUCAAGCGCACAGCGGAAAUUAAAUUUUGAGGCAUGCAAAGUUAGCAAUAUAGAAAAUUAAAGAGAGAGAGUUAGAGAAGAAGACACAGAGAUUUAUCCUGGUUCGGUUGUUCCACAACAACCUACGUCCAG